AGAGUUUGAUCCUGGCUCAGAACGAACGCUGGCGGCGCGUUUUAAGCAUGCAAGUCGAGGGGUAGGAUGCCUUCGGGUAUCUGAGACCGGCGAACGGGUGAGUAACACGUAGGUGAUCUACCGCGAGGUUGGGGAUAGCCCAUGGAAACAUGGGGUAAUACCGAAUGAGCUUUCACGACUGUGGUUGUGGAAGGAAAGGGGCUUUGGCCCCGCCUUGUGAUGAGCCUGCGGCUGAUUAGCUAGUUGGUGGGGUAAAGGCCUACCAAGGCAACGAUCAGUAGCCGGCCUGAGAGGGCGAUCGGCCACACUGGGACUGAGAUACGGCCCAGACUCCUACGGGAGGCAGCAGCUAAGAAUCUUCCGCAAUGGACGAAAGUCUGACGGAGCGACGCCGCGUGGGUGAAGAAGGCCGUGAGGUUGUAAAGCCCUUUUCUACCUGAGGAAUAAGCCUGGGAGGGAAUGCCUGGGUGAUGACGGUAGGGUAGGAAUAAGCCCCGGCUAAUUACGUGCCAGCAGCCGCGGUAACACGUAUGGGGCGAGCGUUGUUCGGAAUUAUUGGGCGUAAAGGGCGUGUAGGCGGAUAUGCAAGUCUGGUGUGAAAGACCGCAGCUCAACUGCGGGUACGCGCUGGAAACUGUAUGUCUUGAAUCCUUGAGGGGGAACUGGAAUUCCUGGUGUAGGGGUGAAAUCUGUAGAUAUCAGGAAGAACACCGGUGGCGAAGGCGAGUUCCUGGCAAGUGAUUGACGCUGAGGCGCGAAAGCGUGGGUAGCAAACAGGAUUAGAUACCCUGGUAGUCCACGCUGUAAACGAUGUGCACUAGGUGUUGGGGUGUUGAAACCUCAGUACCGGAGCUAACGUGGUAAGUGCACCGCCUGGGGAGUAUGCCGGCAACGGUGAAACUCAAAGGAAUUGACGGGGGCCCGCACAAGCGGUGGAGCAUGUGGUUUAAUUCGAUGAUACGCGAGGAACCUUACCAGGGUUUGACAUAUACCGGGAGUCGUGGGAGACCACGGUGCCCUUCGGGGCCGGUAUACAGGUGCUGCAUGGCUGUCGUCAGCUCGUGCCGUGAGGUGUUGGGUU
rnacentral:rRNA from 1 species